rnacentral:lncRNA from 1 species
UUUUUACUCAAGGAUGGGGCAUUUGAAAUGUCAAUUAAUUACAUAAGAAAAAAAACGUCCAUAGCAAAGGUUACAGUAGUCUCACACCAUCGCCAUCGCCAUAUCCAUAGCAUAGAUUGUUUAAUUAUUUAACUUCAAGUCACCAUUUAUGUAUCCUACAAAACACAAAGCUGAAAAUGCCAAAAUGAUCCUAACUCAUUUACCUUGAUUGAAUUUUCAAGUACUUAGUCUUGAUUAGCUUCAAAAUCAACAAUUUAUCAAAUUAUUAAGAGGUGAAAAUGAUGUAAAGGAUAGGUAGAAAUGAAUGGCAAAAGGCUACUGAAGCACAAAAGCAUGUUGUGCGUGAACUCAAGUGUGCACAAUGGUGUGUUUGGCAAUCAUUAAAAUAGAAAUUAUCUUUAAAAGUCAACUAUGAAGUUUCAUAUCGUAAUUAGGGCAAAAGCCAGUUUCUCCAUAUUCGGAUACCUUAUCUUGGAACCCCGAAGGGCUUUGCUUAGAUAGUAGAUCGACAACUGCCAUAGUUCUUUAGUA